UGGGGAAUAUUGCACAAUGGGCGCAAGCCUGAUGCAGCCAUGCCGCGUGUGUGAAGAAGGCCUUCGGGUUGUAAAGCACUUUCAGCGAGGAGGAAGGUGGUGAACUUAAUACGUUCAUCAAUUGACGUUACUCGCAGAAGAAGCACCGGCUAACUCCGUGCCAGCAGCCGCGGUAAUACGGAGGGUGCAAGCGUUAAUCGGAAUUACUGGGCGUAAAGCGCACGCGGGCGGUUUGUUAAGUCAGAUGUGAAAUCCCCGGGGCUCAACCUGGGAACUGCAUUUGAAACUGGCAAGCUAGAGUCUCGUAGAGGGGGGUAGAAUUCCAGGUGUAGCGGUGAAAUGCGUAGAGAUCUGGAGGAAUACCGGUGGCGAAGGCGGCCCCCUGGACGAAGACUGACGCUCAGGUGCGAAAGCGUGGGGAGCAAACAGAUUAGNUACCCUGGUAGUCCACGCUGUAAACGAUGUCGAUUUUGGAGGUUGUGCCCCUU
rnacentral:rRNA from 1 species